ACUGAACGCUGGCGGCAUGCCUUACACAUGCAAGUCGAACGGUAACAGGUCUUCGGAUGCUGACGAGUGGCGAACGGGUGAGUAAUACAUCGGAACGUGCCUAGUAGUGGGGGAUAACUACUCGAAAGAGUGGCUAAUACCGCAUGAGAUCUACGGAUGAAAGCAGGGGAUCGCAAGACCUUGUGCUACUAGAGCGGCCGAUGGCAGAUUAGGUAGUUGGUGGGAUAAAAGCUUACCAAGCCGACGAUCUGUAGCUGGUCGGAGAGGACGAACAGCCACACUGGGACUGGGACACGGCCCAGACUCGUGCGGGAGGCAGCAGUGGGGAAUUUUGGACAAGGGGCGAAAGCCUGAUCCAGCAAUGCCGCGUGCAGGAUGAAGGCCUUCGGGUUGUAAACUGCUUUUGUGCGGAACGAAAAGACUCUGGUUAAUACCUGGGGUCCAUGACGGUACCGUAAGAAUAAGCACCGGCUAACUACGUGCCAGCCGCCGCGGUAA
rnacentral:rRNA from 1 species